rnacentral:rRNA from 1 species
AUUGAACGCUGGCGGCAGGCCUAACACAUGCAAGUCGAGCGGAAACGAUCCUAGCUUGCUAGGAGGCGUCGAGCGGCGGACGGGUGAGUAACGCGUGAGAAUCUACCCAUGAGUGGGGGACAACCCGGGGAAACUCGGGCUAAUACCGCAUACGCCCUACGGGGUAAAGCAGGGGACCUUCGGGCCUUGCGCUGAUGGAUGAGCUCGCGUCGGAUUAGCUUGUUGGUGAGGUAAAGGCUCACCAAGGCGACGAUCCGUAGCUGGUCUGAGAGGAUGAUCAGCCACACCGGGACUGAGACACGGCCCGGACUCCUACGGGAGGCAGCAGUGGGGAAUCUUGGACAAUGGGGGCAACCCUGAUCCAGCCAUGCCGCGUGUGUGAAGAAGGCCUUCGGGUUGUAAAGCACUUUCAGCAGGGAGGAAGGCUUACCCCUAAUACGGGUGAGUACUUGACGUUACCUGCAGAAGAAGCACCGCUAAUUU